GGGGAUAUAGCUCAGCUGGUAGAGUGCUUGCCUUGCAAGCACAAGGCCCUGGGUUCAAUCCCCAGUACUCCA
rnacentral:tRNA from 1 species